rnacentral:tRNA from 1 species
GGUUGUGGCUUAGCGGUAGAGUGCUUGCCUAGCACGUGUGAGGCCCUGGGUUCAAUCCCCAGCACCA